rnacentral:rRNA from 1 species
UUGAACGCUGGCGGCAGGCCUAACACAUGCAAGUCGAACGGUAACAGAAAGCAGCUUGCUGCUUUGCUGACGAGUGGCGGACGGGUGAGUAAUGUCUGGGAAACUGCCUGAUGGAGGGGGAUAACUACUGGAAACGGUAGCUAAUACCGCAUAACGUCGCAAGACCAAAGAGGGGGACCUUCGGGCCUCUUGCCAUCGGAUGUGCCCAGAUGGGAUUAGCUAGUAGGUGGGGUAAAGGCUCACCUAGGCGACGAUCCCUAGCUGGUCUGAGAGGAUGACCAGCCACACUGGAACUGAGACACGGUCCAGACUCCUACGGGAGGCAGCAGUGGGGAAUAUUGCACAAUGGGCGCAAGCCUGAUGCAGCCAUGCCGCGUGUAUGAAGAAGGCCUUCGGGUUGUAAAGUACCUUCAGCGGGGAGGAAGGGAGUAAAGUUAAUACCUUUGCUCAUUGACGUUACCCGCAGAAGAAGCACCGGCUAACUCCGUG